AGCGCGUCCUCUCCUGCAGUGCCGUGUUCCGGGCUUCAGUCUCCUUUUACAGCCCUGCUGGCACCCAGAGUGCAGAGUCUGGAAACCUGGGAAUGUACCCUGGACAACCCAGGAGCCGUUCCUUGGAGCAGAACUGAAUCCACAGGGAGUGAAGCGGAGAGCAGCACUUGUGCCCAAGUCCCUGCUCUUCAAGCCGUGGCUGUUUCUCUGCCUGUGGCCUCCUGGAAAUCAUGGUUGGAGCCAGAAUGAAUGAAAUCCCUGACGUGAGCUGGUGGCACCUUCCCCCAGGAUCCUCCUCUGCCCUGAGAAUCCCAAGGGAGCACCUGGGAGAGAGCACGGAUUCUUUGCAGGAGCUUCUGGAUGGAGCAGCCGUGUCCCCAGCCUGUCGUAUUCUGACCUCUAGAGCAAGAUCGGCGACGUGUGGAUGGGUGAGGGAAGCUGCUGGUGCCCCGGCCAGGUUCAACCUCCCACCUCCCUCACCUUUGCCUCCACCGAGGUGGGUUCACGUGGAGCGGGGAGGACAGAGGGCAUUUGGAGGCAGAUGCUUUUAUUCUCUCCGUUAAGAGAAAGAAAACGGAGCCAUUGCAUCCUGAAAUGUGGGGUUGAGCCCGGGAUGUUCACGGCUGAUUUAAAUGAUAUUUUCUCUUGGCGGCCAGAGGUGUUGGGAUCCCAUCCCCCGGCGCUGCUCAGCCGCCUCCGCGCUGCACCAGACCUGCAACCAGGAGGAACGACAUUGGAAAUCGAAAAGAAGGGUGUGGGGGCUUCGUAAUCGGCUGUGGCUGAGGGAGAGGAAAAGCAGGAUUCCUCAUGAAUUCCUCACUUCACUCUCCUAACGGGGGCAUAGGCUUCUCCCAAGCUUCAAUCCGCUCCGUCUGCUGCACUGGGACGAGCAGCAAAACAGCUUUGGAGAAGGAAUUGUCUCGCUAAAUCCAUCAGCAUCAAAGGCCUUCAGCUUCAUUUCAAUUAAGGAAGAGGGGGGAGAAAUGGCUUUCCUACCCCCCACCCAAGACUCUGGAAAACUUGAGAUAACUGCGCUGGGCUGAGGGAAAAUAUUUGGCUCUUGCUCCAUCCCGUUUCUCCAGCAGCUCUUCCCGCUCGCUCUCCCGAGGCUUUACCCCAGUUCAGCUCCCUCGCAGCGGCCCCAGCUCACGGCCUGCCCUUAUGCAGCCCCCCCGGAAGGGUCGUUUCACACCUGCGCCGACGCAUCCGACCUCCACCUCAAGUCCCGCUUCGCGCAAGCUGCGAAUGGUGCUGCAGCUUCACCCUGGGCUGGUUUUCCUCCCCAGCCUGGGUUUGGCAUUCCCAGAGGACGGCCAGGGCUCUCUGGGGCUGCCCUCCUGCCACCAACCAGGGCUGGCAGCGAAUGGAACCUCCUGCUGAUGGCAUCGCUUUGGCUGAACAGACCUAAGCGCCCGGUGAGCGUGAGCUGAGCUUGGAGCUAAGCUUGGCUUUGCACUCAGGCUGCGUUCCUGCUCCCGGCUGCUCCGGCAUGUGCAGCAGCCAGGGAGCACGAGGCCUCGCUUCUCCCCACAAGGCAGCUGCCACAAAAUAUUAAGCAGGAUGGGUUGUUUCUCCUUCCUCCCUCAGCAGCCGGUAAAGCACAGCCUGGUGGGUCACCCUGCUGCUUUCUUGCUGACAAACAGCCCUUCCUUCUCGCUUU